ACCGCGGUAGUCCAGUUAGUAUAUGUAUAGUAACGUCGGAAGUACAGAUGCCGAAGGUAAGUCGCAGGUUCAAAUCCUGCCUGCGGUG